rnacentral:tRNA from 1 species
GUCCCCAUCGUCUAGUCAGGUCCAGGACGCAGCCCAUCAAGGCUGAAACACGAGGUUCAAAUCCCGUUGGGGACG